rnacentral:rRNA from 1 species
UACAGAGGUCUCAACCGUUGUUCGGAUUCAUUGGGCGUAAAGGGCGCGUAGGCGGCCGAUCAAGUCGGAGGUGAAAUCCCUCGGCUCAACUGAGGAAUUGCCUUCGAUACUGUUCGGCUUGAGUCCUGGAGAGGGUAGCGGAAUUCCCGGUGUAGCGGUGAAAUGCGUAGAGACCGGGAAGAACACCAGUGGCGAAGGCGGCUACCUGGACAGGUACUGACGCUGAAGCGCGAAAGCUAGGGGAGCAAACAGG